UACGGAGGGUGCAAGCGUUAUCCGGAUUCACUGGGUUUAAAGGGUGCGUAGGCGGGCAGGUAAGUCCGUGGUGAAAUCUCCAAGCUUAACUUGGAAACUGCCGUGGAUACUAUUUGUCUUGAAUAUAGUGGAGGUGAGCGGAAUAUGUCAUGUAGCGGUGAAAUGACUUAGAUAUGACAUAGAACACCCAUUGCGAAGGCAGCUCGCCUACACUAUUAUUGACGCUGAGGCACGAAAGCGUGGGGAUUCAAACAGG
rnacentral:rRNA from 1 species